GGUUCUAUGGUCUAGUGGUCAGGACAUUGGUCUCUGAUUCCAGUAACCCCGAGUUCAAAUCUCGGUAGAACCU